CAACCAUCUUGGAUCAGUUUACAAAUUACAAACGUAAUAGUAGAAAGACAAAGCAAGACAAGGAAAUCGUAUUUUUUGAUUUUGAUUUUUUCACAUCUGGCAAGUUAAAUAGAUUUCCAGUUAUGGAGACUGUUAUAGAACGACAGAGGAGACAACACGAAGAAUGUGAGAGGCUGGAAAAUGCACUGACUGACGAAUUGUUAUUGAAAAAACAAACGGUAUGUUCACAUGUUUUACUCGAAUAUAUCUAUAAACUAAAAAGCUGGGUUACACUAUAAAAGUUUCUGUGACCACAGUAGGGAUUUUGCAUAGGUAAAUGCAUUUGUUUGUGGUAACUCAGUGUUAAACACCGAGCCAGUUCCUCAAACAUUUCUUACAAAUCUGAAUUCAAAAAAUUAGAAUUUUAUACCUAUACUAGGACUACACUGCACACAAAGAUGCCAUGUUCACCCAAGCUGACUUGCCCAGGGUGAAUUUGAGGGUGUAUUUCCCAAAGAUGUUCGCUGCAGAACAGCGAUUCGAACAAAAUUUUGCAUACAUUUUCUGUGCAGAAUUUGGCAAUGAUUUGGUGAAGCAAUUUUAAUAGCGUAAUUAUAUUACAGUCAAACCGGAUGUUCUCUUGAGAGCAACAUUGCAAUAUUAGGGCCAUUUAUACGAGCGAAAAUAACCCACAGCCUAAAUAAGCGGCGGCUUAAAUAAGUCGCAAACGUAUAAACAGUCAAUUUGCAAUAAGCCACGGCCCAGGGUGCAUUCCAUGCACGUUUUGCGGAAGAUCUUCAGCGUGAGUUUUGAAUUGUUGGCGCACAAUCACGUCGAGGUUGGCGCACAAGUUUUCAGUUAUGGUGGUUGGCGCGCAUCAAAUGUUUAAGCGAGACUUUGAGUAUUCGAGAAAUUUGUAAGCGAGACUUUGAGGCUUGAGAAAUUUGUGUUCCUGGUUGUAAUAGCAUAGUAAUUACCUAAAUGGAGUAAAUGGUGAUUAUAAGUGGCGGAAACUAGGGGGGGGGGGGCGAGGGGGGGGAAAUCGCCCCAUUUUACUAGAAUUAUAUUUGGCUAGAAUUCAUUUUGAAAAAUGAAAACACAAUAUAAGGGAGCACUAUUUGUUACAAUAACAACAGCAACGAAAUGGCAAGUUUUAAUAAAAACAAGCUAAAAACAAGCUAAAGUAUUCUAAAUUUAUAAUCUGACAAGUCACACAAUGAGUUAUGAAUUCUGAAAAAAGUCAAAUAAAUUAGUUUUGCAACUACAGGUUAAAAGUGGUGAAUUUUGGCUAAAACAGUGGCUUCUACAGUUAGUUGUCAUUGCAUGUAACAAAUUUGAG